AUUGAACGCUAGCGGGAUGCUUUACACAUGCAAGUCGAACGGCAGCGCGGACUUCGGUCUGGCGGCGAGUGGCGAACGGGUGAGUAAUGUAUCGGAACGUGCCCAGUAGCGGGGGAUAACUACGCGAAAGCGUAGCUAAUACCGCAUACGCCCUACGGGGGAAAGCAGGGGAUCGUAAGACCUUGCACUAUUGGAGCGGCCGAUAUCGGAUUAGCUAGUUGGUGAGGUAACGGCUCACCAAGGCGACGAUCCGUAGCUGGUUUGAGAGGACGACCAGCCACACUGGGACUGAGACACGGCCCAGACUCCUACGGGAGGCAGCAGUGGGGAAUUUUGGACAAUGGGGGCAACCCUGAUCCAGCCAUCCCGCGUGUGCGAUGAAGGCCUUCGGGUUGUAAAGCACUUUUGGCAGGAAAGAAACGUCGCGGGCUAAUACCCCGUGGAACUGACGGUACCUGCAGAAUAAGCACCGGCUAACUACG
rnacentral:rRNA from 1 species